GCCAGCUCACAUCAGCAGUAAGAUAUUUCAUCUCAAAAAUCGCCUGCUGUUCAAUCCUUGGUAUUUUUGGCAAUAUGGGAACUAUUUUUCGUCGAUUUACGCAGAACGAGGAGUAACGAGGCCUGGGUUAAAUUGGCAGAAUAAGGCUGAAGCUCACCGCGAGGGACAUCGGAGAACAGCCGUGUAUGGCGGAUAAAGGCUGAUCUACAGCGUGACAAAACGGUACUAGGGGUCUUGUUAUCCUCCCAGUGGCUGUUGCGUUACAUUAAUAUGGCAGCAAGUUGUCUUCUCCAUGAGAGAGAGAGACUACUGGAGGGAGAGAGGAGGAUAAAAGGCCUGAUGAAUAUCUU